CGAGAGGCGGGUGGCGGGCGCGCGGGUCUCCCCGCGUCCUGGAUGCGGACUCCAAGUAAUCGGCGUCCCCUCCUUGUGGGAAGUGGAUGGAUCUGCAGGAGCCAAAUCUCUGGUAGUGACGAGUGAGCGAGCCAGGCUCUCGGCCUUUCAUCCUGUCCGAAAUAGAAGUCUCUUGGGCCUCUCCUCGGACUGCCGGCUCAGAAGACAAGUGGCCUGAUCCGCAGACCUUUGGAUUUGAUACAUGCUCACUGCAAAAAUGAAAUUAAAAUCUAGAAGUGUGUAAUAGAAGAAUUAAAAAGAAAUCCAAAAUGAAAAAAAAUGAGAAUUGCCUUUCAGAAAAUCUGCAGAAUCAUGUAGCCAGGGCACACACAAAAGAAGAAACGUGACCUGCAACUACCGUGGAAACAAAGAUCCUCCUUCCCACAGAACCCAAGGACUGGGACACGACCGGAACUUGGCAAUGGACUCUUAUCAGAAGCGAGGGAUCCCUCAUUCAGAAGAUCUGGUGUUAAAAUUCCUUCCCCACCUCAUCAAAAAUGUUUAGAACCCUGUUAGAAAUAUUUAGAACCUCAUCAUAAAGGCUUGAAGCCCACCGGUCAAAGCCUGUCCCACCAGCAUUUCUGCAUGCCAACCUGUCUGUCCUCCAUAACCUUUUAAAUUUUGCCCCAAAUCCUGAAUUGGGGAGACAGAUCUGAGGGCACAUGCCCCCUGUUCUCCCUGCAGAUCAAUUUCGCACAGUAAAACUGACCUCUUUCCCCAAAGGCUGAUGCUGUAAUUAAUCAGUUUGUUUAUGUGCAUCGGGCAGUGAACCCCAACUUUGUGCGGUAACAGUCUC
rnacentral:lncRNA from 1 species